UCCCUGGUGGCCUAGUGGUUAAGGAUCCAGUGUUGUCACUGCUGUGGCUCAGGUUUGAUCCCUGACCUGGGAA
rfam:Sus scrofa chromosome 7.